GCUCAGCCCUAAACUUAGAUGUAAUAAUACAAGAAACAUCCGCCAGGGUACUACAAGCGCCAGCUUAAAACCCAAAGGACUUGACGGUGCCUCAGACCCACCUAGAGGAGCCUGUUCUAUAACCGAUAAUCCACGUUUAACCUCACCACCCCUUGUUCCCCAGCCUAUAUACCGCCGUCGCAAGCUUACCCUGUGAAGGACAAACAGUAAGCAAAGUGGGUAAAUCCCAAAACGUCAGGUCGAGGUGUAGCCUACGAGGUGGGAAGAAAUGGGCUACAUUUUCUGUACCAGAAUACACGAAUAGGACUAUGAAACUAGUCCUUAAAGGUGGAUUUAGUAGUAAAAAUUAAAUAGAGAGUCAUUUUGAAUCAGGCUCUGAGACACGC
rnacentral:rRNA from 1 species